GCCAGUGUGACCUAGUGGUUUGAGUGUUGGACUAUGACUCUCUCUGGAGACCAGGGAUCAAAUCCCGGUUCAGCCA